AGCAGCCGCGGUAAUUCCAGCUCCAAUAGCGUAUAUUAAAGUUGUUGCAGUUAAAAAGCUCGUAGUUGAAUUUCGGGAUCAAUAUGUUGGUCGUGCCUCGGUACGUACUAGCAUAUUGGUUUCUCCUUUCUGAAGAACCAUGAUGUCAUUUAUUUGGUGUCGUGGGGAAUCAGGACUGUUACUUUGAAAAAAUUAGAGUGUUUAAAGCAGGCUCACGCUUGAAUACAUUAGCAUGGAAUAAUGAAAUAGGACGUUUGAUUCUAUUUUGUUGGUUUCUAGGAUCGACGUAAUGAUUAAUAGGGAUAGUUGGGGGCAUUAGUAUUCAAUUGUCAGAGGUGAAAUUCUUGGAUUUAUUGAAGACUAACUACUGCGAAAGCAUUUGCCAAGGAUGUUUUCAUUAAUCAAGAACGAAAGUUAGGGGAUCGAAGACGAUCAGAUACCGUCGUAGUCUUAACCAUAAACUAUGCCGACUAGGGAUCGGAUGAUGUUAAUUUUUUAAUGACUC
rnacentral:rRNA from 1 species